rnacentral:rRNA from 1 species
CUUUACACAUGCAAGUCGGACGGCAGCACAGGGAAGCUUGCUUCUCGGGUGGCGAGUGGCGAACGGGUGAGUAACAUAUCGGAACGUACCGGGUAGCGGGGGAUAACUGAUCGAAAGAUCAGCUAAUACCGCAUACGUCUUGAGAGGGAAAGCAGGGGACCUUCGGGCCUUGCGCUAUCCGAGCGGCCGAUAUCUGAUUAGCUGGUUGGCGGGGUAAAGGCCCACCAAGGCGACGAUCAGUAGCGGGUCUGAGAGGAUGAUCCGCCACACUGGGACUGAGACACGGCCCAGACUCCUACGGGAGGCAGCAGUGGGGAAUUUUGGACAAUGGGCGCAAGCCUGAUCCAGCCAUGCCGCGUGUCUGAAGAAGGCCUUCGGGUUGUAAAGGACUUUUGUCAGGGAAGAAAAGGCCGUUGCCAAUAUCGGCGGCCGAUGACGGUACCUGAAGAAUAAGCACCGGCUAACUACGUGCCAGCAGCCGCGGUAAUACGUAGGGUGCGAGCGUUAAUCGGAAUUACUGGGCGUAAAGCGGGCGCAGACGGUUACUUAAGCAGGAUGUGAAAUCCCCGGGCUCAACCCGGGAACUGCGUUCUGAACUGGGUGACUCGAGUGUGUCAGAGGGAGGUGGAAUUCCACGUGUAGCAGUGAAAUGCGUAGAGAUGUGGAGGAAUACCGAUGGCGAAGGCAGCCUCCUGGGAUAACACUGACGUUCAUGUCCGAAAGCGUGGGUAGCAAACAGGAUUAGAUACCCUGGUAGUCCACGCCCUAAACGAUGUCAAUUAGCUGUUGGGCAACUUGAUUGCUUGGUAGCGUAGCUAACGCGUGAAAUUGACCGCCUGGGGAGUACGGUCGCAAGAUUAAAACUCAAAGGAAUUGACGGGGACCCGCACAAGCGGUGGAUGAUGUGGAUUAAUUCGAUGCAACGCGAAGAACCUUACCUGGUUUUGACAUGUGCGGAAUCCUCCGGAGACGGAGGAGUGCCUUCGGGAGCCGUAACACAGGUGCUGCAUGGCUGUCGUCAGCUCGUGUCGUGAGAUGUUGGGUUAAGUCCCGCAACGAGCGCAACCCUUGUCAUUAGUUGCCAUCAUUCGGUUGGGCACUCUAAUGAGACUGCCGGUGACAAGCCGGAGGAAGGUGGGGAUGACGUCAAGUCCUCAUGGCCCUUAUGACCAGGGCUUCACACGUCAUACAAUGGUCGGUACAGAGGGUAGCCAAGCCGCGAGGCGGAGCCAAUCUCACAAAACCGAUCGUAGUCCGGAUUGCACUCUGCAACUCGAGUGCAUGAAGUCGGAAUCGCUAGUAAUCGCAGUCARCAUACUGCGGUGAAUACGUUCCCGGGUCUGUACACACCGCCCGUCACACCAUGGGA